rnacentral:tRNA from 1 species
GCGGCAGUAGCUCAAUUGGUAGAGUUCCAGAUUUCCAAUCUGGCUGUUGCGGGUUCGAGUCCCGUUUGCCGCUCCA